CAGCGUACGGCAUAUGAAUAAUAUUUGAAAUCUUGCUACUCUUUUCUUAUAUUCUGCCCCAAACCCAAAGGAAGUUUAAAAUGAGAAAAAAGGUAAAGGUAUGAAAGAACCUUUGGUGACUCAGGUGGCUUCAGACUUACCAGUCACAAAAACUUGCAAGCAGGUUCUAGGAGACUUCACUGCAUCCAUAUAUGCUGUUAAUAGUGUUUUUUUUUUUUUUUGAGACGGAGUCUCACUCUGUUGCCCAGGCUAGAGUGCAGUGGUGUGAUCUCGGCUCGGCUCGCUGCAACCUCCACCUCCUGGGUUCAAGUAAUUCUUCCACUUCAGCCUUACGAGUAGCUGGGACUAUAGGCACCUGCCACCAUGCCAAGCUAAUUUUUGUAUUUUUAGUAGAGACGGGGUUUCACCAUGUUGGCCAGGCUGGUCUCAAACUCCUGACCUCAAGUGCCCACUCCAGCCUCCCAAAGUGCUGGGAUUACAGGCAUGAGCCACCGCACCCGGCUUGUUAUAGUCUUAAAACACUCUACACCAGGGGUUAGUAAACGUUUCCUAUAAAGGGCCAGAUAGUAAAUAUUUUAUGUCACUACGCAACUCUCCACGGUAGCAUGGAAGCAGCCAUAGACAAUACGUAACUGAAUGAGUGUGGUGUGUUCCGGUAACGCUUUAUAGACACAGAAAUUCACUUAAAGUCCAUAUAAUUUUCACAUGCCAUGAAAUAUUUACUGUUUUUUUUUGGGGGGGGAUGGGGACAGGGUCUCACUGUCACUCAGGCUAGAGAGCAGUGGCACCAUCACGGCUCAGUGUAGCCUAGACCUCCUGAGCUCAAGUGAUCCUCCUAUCUCUCAGCCUCCUGAGUAGCUGGGAUCACAGGCAUGUGCCACUAUGCCCAGUUAAUUUUUGUAUUUUUUGUAGAGAUGAGGUUUCACCAUGUUGCCAAGGCUGGUCUUGAACUCCUGGGUUCAAGCAAUCCAGCUGCCUUGGCCUCCUGAAAUGUUAGGAUUACAGGCGUGAGCCACUGCACCCAGUGAUUUAAUAGAUGUAAAAAUCAUUCUUAGUUCUUGGGGCAAA
rnacentral:lncRNA from 10 species